GCCGGAGUGGCGAAAUUGGCAUACGCAGCAGACUCAAAAUCUGCCGGGACCUAGUCCCGUGGGGGUUCAAGUCCCCCCUCCGGCA
rnacentral:tRNA from 2 species